rnacentral:rRNA from 1 species
CCUACGGGGGGCAGCAGUGAGGAAUAUUGGUCAAUGGACGAGAGUCUGAACCAGCCAAGUAGCGUGAAGGAUGACUGCCCUAUGGGUUGUAAACUUCUUUUAUAUGGGAAUAAAAUGUUCCACGUGUGGGAUUUUGUAUGUACCAUAUGAAUAAGGAUCGGCUAACUCCGUGCCAGCAGCCGCGGUAAUACGGAGGAUCCGAGCGUUAUCCGGAUUUAUUGGGUUUAAAGGGAGCGUAGGUGGAUUGUUAAGUCAGUUGUGAAAGUUUGCGGCUCAACCGUAAAAUUGCAGUUGAAACUGGCAGUCGUGAGUACAGUAGAGGUGGGCGGAAUUCGUGGUGUAGCGGUGAAAUGCUUAGAUAUCACGAAGAACUCCGAUUGCGAAGGCAGCUCACUGGACUGCAACUGACACUGAGGCUCGAAAGUGUGGGUAUCAAACAGGAUGAGAUACCCCAGUAGUC